GCAUUUCCCUAUUCACCCGGCUCUGAAUCCACCGCGGUGCUGUUUCAAGUGAGUCAGAUUCCAGAUCGCGCUCCAGCCCGGACUCGGAAUUCCUGCCCCGCGGGUCUGCAUUUUCACAGCGGCUGGUGUGAGUGCCCCGCAGCUGGAGACCAGAAGCCUCAAGGCAGCUCGGCCCUCCCCAGCCCACAGCGCCGUUAUUCCGUUUCUAUAUCAGUAAACACUUGUAGACCAGGGCGGGGUGACGGGUGAUCCCAGUCCUCGCAGUGAAUUCCAGGCCGACCUGAAAACGCGCGCGGGAGCCCACCGCAGCCCGGUCCUGAGUUACACAACCGACAAGCAACCGCGCUGGGCCGUUUCUCUUUCUUUCCCAGACCCAGCAGUUGAGCCUAAAGUCUGCGAGGAGAAAAUCGCUUGUGUGCUGCAGUGAGAGUGGAGAAAGAACAAACAAAUCCGUAAUUGGUCGUGAACUUUCUAUUCGGCGUGUGGCCCCGCCCUCCUCGCUUAUGAUUGGUCCGCAGCUCCGGGCGUCCAUUUUCAUUGGGUCAACUGCUUUGUAACUGCUUUGUCCAUCUCCGGCCAUUUCCUUCCUGGGAGAACAGAACCAUGGAUUGGGUCUCCGCACUUGCUUCAUAUCUAAGAUACCUCUCAGUCACACACACUCAACCUCUGAAAAGGCCCAACCACCAAGGCAGUGCUCAUAGUCCAAUCUUCCUACCUGGGCUUGUGCACAAGGUUGCCUGGUUGCCGCGGUGCCUGCUUUUCUGUUUUUCGCUGUGUCACUUUUGUUGUCUUCUGAAUAAGUUUCAAGUUUGUCUAUGGCUUCUGCGGGGAGCAUGGACAACUGGACAGAAUGGGCCACAUGAAUCCAGUGGUACGCUUUUCCUUUCCACCAAAGUCUCACUUCACAUAAGCACAGUGAUCCCCAUACAGGCCACUAGAUUAUAAGAAACAAACUCACCCAUCCAAACCCAAAGAAUGGACUCAGAGACCCAGAUAACAGUGAAAGUGAGACUUUUAGCGACAGUUUUGCAAUAUCGGAUGUCUGGAAUGCAGGCACACCAGGGACGGUUUCAACAAACAAUUUAUUCCCUAGUGCACACGUCCCUCCCCCAGUUCCUCAUUAGCUGAGUACUACGGAUUUAUAGUCUUUCUGGAUGUUGCCUAUUGGUAGUUUGAUUUAGGCUUCCAGUAUGUUCUUCAGAGUCUUUUUGCUGCAUUUUGUUGCAGCCCAUAAUGCAUUGCGAUUGUCUCAGGACUCCUAAAACAUUUGACUUAUGGCCCUAAUGGGUGCACUUAGAUGAUAAGAAAGGGUAUGAUUAUCUACAUUGUAAGCUAGCCUAAAGUAAAUUCUUUGGUGAGGUGGGGAAGGGGUCAUCGAGGGGGCCCCAACCGAUCGGCACCUGGCCAGUGCAUGAAAAGGAAAGCCAGAAGGAGGUGGGGGGUGGCUUAGUACAUUUUGCUUUUUUAUCUCUUUAUGUCCAUGUGUCUCUUUAUGUCCAUGUUAAACCUAUACUAAGGCACAUAGAAAUGAAAAUGAACCAUCACAUGUAGCUUAUUUUUUACACCCUUAAGUUCUGCCCAUGCCAAGGCUGGGCCAAGGCCCUCGAACGUCCAGCUGUGGUCUCCUCCUCCUGCAGGUGAGGAGUGGGCAGCAGGGAGGGCCAUGGCACCUGCUCUGUCCCCAUCCCGGUCUCUGUCUCUCAGGCUGACCAGGGUGUAUCCAGGUGGGUGAGUUGGGAAUUGCAUGCUGAUUGCGGAGGGCCUGGAUGAUCACGGUCUCAGAGAGAGCCAAUAGUAAAGGCAGCUGUGAUCUGGUGACGGGUUAGAGACUGGAGAAGAAUCCGAGGAGAGGCAGAUCCUCUGGUCCCUUCCUCUCUGCAUCCCUCUCCCCUGUUUCUCCAGCCAUCAGGAGGACACCAAGAAAAAGAUCCGCAAGGCCCAGACUGAGGGCCCCUGCAUGUGCAGUUCCCUUUGUGGCCUCCCUUGUAACAGGGAGGGUCGUCAGUGCACACGGCCAUCCUCUGUCCACUUUGCAGCUCCCCAUGGGCCUCAUCUGGGAGCUAAACUUAGGCCGAGACCGGGAGCUGUCUCAGGCGUGUCAUAUCCUCUGGGUCCCUCGAAGCCAUGCUUUUUCCAGGAUCCCACCAUGUGGCCCCUGCCUCCCUGUGUUUCCUUGCAGAUGAUAUGGACGAGGUGAUAAGCAGAUGUCCCUGGGCUGUUUGGGGAGUGGGGACCAGCCCCCUGUCAGGGCAGCUGUGGUCCCUGUUUUCAUCCUAUGUCCAGAGCAUGGGAAACUACAAGGCCUGGAUCAACACCUGGUUGGGACAGGAGAACACCAGGGCAAUGCACAGCUGGAUUUCAGUCUCUGAUGUCAUCUCCUGGGUCCACUGGCUCCACUGAGGGUGGCUAGACUCUGCAGCCAGGCGGCCUGGAUUCAACUCCCUGCCCAGGUCUCGCCAGCACUUUCCCUCUUGGUGCCUCAGUUUCCUCAUCUAUGAAAUCAGGAAACUAAUAGCAAUUAUUUCUUGUGGUUGGAUGAAUGAUAAGGGUUAGCAUAUAUGAGGUGUUUGCAGCUGUGCCAUAUUGUUUCUGUUAUUUUGUUAUUUUAUUAUAUUUUGAUAUAUUACAUAUGCAGUAAUUGUAUUAUUAUAGGUGAACUUUAUGAGUGAGUGUCCUGGUGACGGCUCCUCCUGGGGAGCCCAGGACCAGCUUUCCUGGAACCUUGAGGUCCCCUCACCCCUGUCCCACUCUCCGGCAUUACCCCAUUCUACUCUGUCUUCAUAUUUUAUACUAUAGAUAUUUAACUCUUAAAUAGAUAUUUCUGGUCUGCGUUUUAUUUCAAGUGUCUGGGAAGAGAUAGUGUGAGGUUCAGGAGAGAAGGAGAGGUCUGUCUUGAUGCCUUGACACAGCUCAAAGAAAUCUCCCCUCCUCCCCCACAUCUCCCCACCAGUUCUCAGUGAGGGACAGAUUCCCAGCAACACCGAAAGGGCUGGGAAGGGAUGGAGGGACAUCUGGGGCCAAUGUUCAGGGGCUAACCCUGUGGGGGAACAUCUGUCCUGCAGAGUUAGAGCCCACAUGUGAUGAUGUAGAGCUGUAGGGUGAUAUUAGGGAGGUGACGGGGAGUGCUUUGGCAUUUCCUGAUCACGAAGAGUAGAGGUCAGUCAGCUUCUGGGGUGAAGUGACUGCUAAGGAAAUAUGGAAUGAAUUAAUGAAGAAUAAAUGAACAGGGAAUGAGGAUGAGUAAAGCAAGCAUCAGUAUCUGCUGCCAUCGGUUCAGACUGACUGGGGAUGUGGGAGAGUUACUGACUCUGUUGUGAGGUUCCUUUUAACUUUCUGGUCUUGGGGAACACAGAUGGGUGGUGCUGUUCUUGGUCAGGGCAGCCUCAGCUCACCCACGUAAGGCAGUGGAGGCGGAGAGAGUUAAGGGAGCACCUGUGAAACUGACCAAGGCAGGGAUGGGAGCCCUCUGUGCAGCAGGAGUGGUUGCAGGGCCUGCGUGGAUGCAAGAGAAGGAUGAGGGAACCUAGUUGGGUCCUGUUCCCUGCCUGCGUGUGUUCACAGGGCAACCAGUAAGGGAGCUGGGGUAGGGAAUUCGUUCAUAAGCUAUCUAUCUAGAGAUGUGUUUAUAGACAUAUUCUUUCAUGUUUGUAUUCAGGUUUGUUGUCACAGACACAUUUAUCCAUGCAUUGUUUUAUGUUUAAGUUGCUUUGGAAUGGUUCAGUCACAAAAUCUUAAUCUCUUCAUUCGUGCUGCCUCUCUCUAUACACACACACACGCACACACACACACACACACACACACACGCUAUACAAAAUAUCUACCUGUAUCUAUAAAGAGAUAUGUUAUUUUAUUUUUUAUUUUUUAAAUUUGUAAACAUUCAUGGGGCACCAGUGCAAUUUUGCUACAUUGCUACAGUGAGUUAUGGUAAAAUCAGGGCCUUCAGUGCAUCUGUCACUGGAGCCGGGCACAUUGUACCCACCAAGAAAGCCCUCUCAUCAUACACCCAUUGCCAAACCCCUUACGCUUCUGGGUCUCUAUUGUCCAUCAUUCCACAUGCUGCUUUCAUGUAUAUAAAGAGAUAUUAAGCAAAUAUGGAAAGGUGGUAACUUGAAUUUUACUAUUCUUUCAGCUUCUUUGCACAUUUGAAAAUUUAUACAAGUAUAAGUUGCAAGAAUGAGGAAAAACAGAGAGUGAGAGAGUGCUGAAUCUGAAUAGGCUUGGGGUUGUGUCCCACUAGAAACCAUAAUUGAUCUUUGCCAAUUUGAAAGUGUGUCCCCUGAGCUGCCUUCAGAGAGUCCUGGAGGGAAACCUGUUUUCACAGUAAUACCAAGAUGCCAUCUGCCUGUUUCAUUAUGUUGACUUUUCUAUUAAUGCUGCAAAUGCCAAGGUAGGUAACACACCGAACACCUUAGCAGAACCAAGACAGUAUCACCAAACUGCAGUCCCACUUAAGAGUAUCUUUGAUGGAGCAGUAAAAAUUUACGUUUAUUAAAUUUUGAUCCCUGAGUACAUGUCUUUAAUAUUCUUUGUGAGAAAGUGGGAAAUAUGCAUAAACACUUAUUGCACAGAGAAGCAGGAUGGUAGCCUUGAGAAAGGGCAGUUGUGUGACUCAGUUAUGAGUUCAACCAGCAGAUCUCACUCACCCACUGAAAGGCAAUUGCAUUAACUCCAGUUUGAAGGUGUUAUGGAUAAAGCUGCAAGAGUAUUUGUGUACAGGUUUUUCAUGAACAUAAAGUUUUCCCUCGUUUGAAAUAAGUGCCUAGGAGGUCAGUUGCUAGUCAUAUGAUAAAUUGCAUAUUCAGUUUGGAGAAAACUGUAAUACCCAUUUCCAGAAUGGCUGUACCAUUUUAAAAUCCAUUCCUACCAGCAAUGUAAGAGUGACUCCGUUUCUCUGCAUCCUUGCCAACAUCUGCUGUUACCUUUAUUUUGUAUUUCAGCCAUUCUCAUCACUGCAGUUUUAAUUUGUGUUUUCCUACUGGAUAAUGAUGUUGAACGUCUUUUCAUUUGCUUGUUAGCCCAGUGUUUAUCCUCUUCAGUGAAAUAUCUGUUCAUGUCUUGAUCAUUGCCUAUUGUGUAUUUGGAUUUCAUUUUUACUCUUGAGUUUUUAAAUUUCUUCCUAUAUUCUGAAUGCAAGUCUUUACAGAAUAUGUUGUCUGCAAAUAUCUUCUCUCAUGCUAUAUAGCUUGCCUUUUUAAGCUCAUCAUAGGUCUCUCACAGAGCAACAGUUUUUAGUUGUGAUAAGAUCCAAUUUAUUACCUUUUUCUUUUAUGGAUCAUACCUUUGGUCUUAUGUCUAAGAACAUUUUGUCCAGUCUUAGUUCUGAUGACUUUUUCUUAAAAGGUUUGUAAUUUUAAAUUUUAAAUUUAUUUAUUAUUUAUUUUAGAAAAAAAAUCUUGCCUAGGCUGUCCUUGCACUCCUGGGCUCAAGGGAUCCUCCCACCUCAGCCUCCAGAGUAGUUGAGACUACAGGCCUGUGACACCAUGCCUGGCUCAAUGUUUGUAAUUUUAACUCUGUGUUUUGCAUUAAAGCUUGUGAUUCAUUAUGAGUUAUUUUUUGUAUUAAGUGUGAGGUUUAGGCUCAGGUUAUUUUUUUCCACUGUGGUUGUCCAGUUGCUCCAGCACUAUUUGUUGGGAAAGCUCUCCUUCCUUCAUUGAAUUGCUUUUGUGCUUUUGUAAAAGUCAGUUGAGCAUAUUUGUGUUGUUUUACUCAUUUUUGGUUGAGUUGCUUGUCUUCUUACAUUGAGUUUAAGAACUUUCCACAUAUUCUGGAUACAUGUUCUUCAUCACAAUUUGUGAUAAAUUGUGAAAUAUUUUUUCCCAGUCUAUGGCUUGUCUUCUCAUUUGCUCAAUGAUGUCUUUUGGAGCACUCAAGUUUAAAAUUUCUAAAAGAAAAUCUAGGAGAAAAUUUUUGUGACUUUGGUUGGUUAGGCAAAAGAUUCUUAGAUAAAGUAACAAAAGCAUGAUCUACAAGUGAAAAAAAAAGAGAGAUAGAAAUUAGGCUUAGUUAAAAUUAAAUGGUUUUAACUCAUAAAUUUUAGUUCCAUAUGUCUCUAAUUUGUUUGAGCUGAUAUUUUAUAUGUUGUUAAAUGUCACAUUGUAUUACCUAUGCAACUUCGUUGAAAAUCAAUUGACAAAAAAAUGUAAGAAUGUCUUUCUAGAUUCUCACUUCUGCUCAUUGAUCUCUAUGUCUCUCAGUUACACACUGUCUGGAUUUUUGUAGUUUUAUAUGACAUUCCAUUUUUUUUUCAAAUUUGUGUUGGCUUUUCUGCAUCCUCUGCAUUUUCAUAUACAUUUUAAGGCUUAUUUUGUCAAUUUUCUAUAAAAUGCCUGCUGGGAUUUUGAUAGACUGUGUUGAACCUAUAGAUCUGUUAGGGGAGAAAUGCCAUCUUAACAAUAUUAUUGAGCUUUCCAACUCACAUCUCUCCAUUUAUUUAGACCUUUAAUUUCUCUCAGGAAUGUUUUUUAUUUUCAGUGAACAAAUACUGCUGUCUUCCUAAAUUUAUUCCUGUUUCACCCUUUUUGUAACUACUGUGGUAGAAAAGUUGAGAUUUUCAUUGCCUGUAUAGAGAAAUAUGUUAAUAAUUAAUUUUUAUAUUGAUUUGAUAUCCUAUGGGCCCUUCUGGAUUCAUUUCUUAGUGCUAGCAGGCUUUUAUCUGCUUGUGAAUUCUACAGACAAGGUCAUGUUAUCGGUGAAUAGAGUUUUAUGUUUUCCUUUUUAUCUAGUUGCCUUUAAUUUUUAAUUUUCUGCCUUAGCGCACUGGCUACAACCUCCAGUACAAUGUUAAGUGGAAGUGGUGGGAUUGGACAUCCUUGCACUGAUCCCCAUCUUAGGAGAAAAGCAUUCAGUCUUUCUUCAUUAAGCUUGAUUUUAGCUGUGGGUUUUUUACAGAUGCCCUUUAUCAGAGUAAGGAAGGUCCCCGCCAUUCCUAUUUAGUUGAAACUUACGGACAUGAGUGGUGUUAAUGUUUUUGUCAACUGUUUCUUCUGCAUCUUUUGAGAUAAUUAUGUCCUUUAUUUCAUUAAUAUGGUGCAUUCUAUUAAUUGAUUUCAAAUGUUAAUCCAACCUUAUGUUCCUAGGAUGAAUCUAAUUGGUCAUGAAGUGUAAUCCUUUUUUAUGUGGCAUUUUAUUGUCUGCCAAUGUUUGUUGAGGAUGUUUUCAUUUGUGUUUAUUGCUGAUACUGGUCUCUGGUAUUCUUUUCUUGUGAGUCUUGCUCUGACUUUGAUAUUAGGGUAAUACCAGUUCUGUAAACAAGCUGGAAAGUCUUCCCUCCUUUCUUCUUGUCUGAAAGAGCUUUUGAAAUAUUUGAUAGAAUUAACCAGUGAAGAUAUCUGGGUUUUGGCAUUUCCUUGUGAGAAGGUUUUAAAAUUACUGACUUAGUGUACAGUUCUAAUCAGAUUUUCUAUUUAUUUUUGAGUCAGUUUGGGCAAUUUCUUUUUUUGUGUGUGCGUGUGUUUUUUUUUUUUAGACGGAGUCUUGCUCUGUCGCCCAGGCUGGAGUGCAGUGGCGUGAUCUCGGCUCACUGCAAGCUCCGUCUCCUGGGCUCAGCCAUUCUCCUGCUUCAGCCUCCCAAGUAGCAGGGACUACAGGCGCCCACCACCAUGACUGGCUAAUUUUUUUUGUAGUUUUAGUAGAGACGGGGUUUCACCGUGUUAGCCAGGUUGGUCUCCAUCUCCUGACCUUGUGAUCCACGCCUCUCAGCCUCCCAAAGUGCUGGGAUUACAGGCGUUAUGCGCUGCGCCCAGCCAGUUUUGGCAAUUUCUAUCUUUGUAUGAAUCUGUCCAUUCUAUCUAAGUGGUCUAACUUAUUGGCUCCAGAUUUUUCAGAGUAUUCAAUUAUAAUGCUUCUUAAAUUCCAAAGGGUCAUUAGUGAUGAUCUCUCUUUCGUUCACAAUUUUGGUAAUUUAUCUCAUUUCUUAUAAUGUCUGUUUUGACUGUUGGUCAAGAAAACAGACAGAGGCAGUAGAUGGCUGUGUGACAGAUUCUCUAGUGGGAAGCUUUGAUCAUACAUAGCUGGCAAGCCAGACUGACGCCAGCAACCCCAAAGGAGCUGCCAGUGGAUCUUGACAGGAAAGUCACUGAUUCUGGAUUGGGCUAUGCUCUACCAGGGGUAGAUGUCAAUGCUUCAAGGGCUAUGAAGGAACCAGAAAAGAAGAGAUUGCACCAAUUUGGACUGCUGAGUCCCAUUUCUUUACACAAGAAAACACAUUUUACAGCCUCAAAUGGCCAACAAUGCACAGGGAGAUGUCCUUCUCAGAAGAAAACUUUGAUAGAAAAUUGAAAUGGUCAACUGAAACAUUGGUUAUCUAAAACAUGUCAAUAUAAUUGUUGGGCAACAUAAACAUGAAGGACUGGCUUUUACAUCUUUAUGAAUGUGCUCACUGUCAACAGGGGUGGGGCUGCAAGAGUGACUCCACUAGGUAGCAUCCUCUCUUUGUCCUCAUGGAUCAAAAGGAUGCUGUUAUGACUAUACAUACAAUUCUUUCUAAGGAGAGAGGAUGCUGGAAUAAUGACUACACUUCACCUCAAAUUUCUUUUUUCAUAUGUGAUGCAGUGGUACCAGGAAUAGGGAUGCAAAUCAAAGUGCCAGAAACAGAAAUUAUCCCUAAGCCAAAAACCAUAACUAUAUUUUUACACGUGUAUGUAAGAAUUCCCAAGCAACUCAAGGAUUGUGCUGUGCCUUCAUUUCAUCUGGCAAAAUCGAGAUUAACUAUAAGUAGAGCUAUGUAGCCUGGAACUGUAAGUAGAGCUAUGUAGCCUGGUGGUCAGAUAGCCUGCACUAGUUCCUUACCUAUGUAACCUACCCUCUAUGUUCAAGAGUAGACUGAGGGAAGACAUGCUAGAAUACUGUUGCUGCCUGCAGUCUAGGCCAGCACAGCAGCCAAACCUAAUGUCACUUCCAAAACUGGAAAAGACUGAUAUAAAGGGACAGAAGGAGGAAUAGUGGCUGAGGGUAAGUGAAUAAAUCAAAGGGUUAUGUAAUGAGGAAAAUUCAAUAUUAUCUUAACUCCUCAAAAGUGGUGUGAGCGAGAGAAGAUAUUGUCUCUUAGUUCAAUUAUACUGCAUGCCUAAAAGGGUGAAGCUGUAUGUCCCUGAGACCAUUCUUGCUUUUGGAACCUGGUAAUAUUGAGUGGUGUCUGCAAAGCUGAGUGACAUCAUUCUGGGAGACAUAUUCAUGCAAGAGGAUGAUAAACUGGCCUAAUUUUGAAUGACUGAAUGAGACUCUGAUAAUAAGCCAAUACCUCUUUACUGUUAUAAUCCUUUUCCUAUAAAAGACAGGUGGUCAAAGAAAAGCAGGUAAUCUGAGUUAUAACAAAAACAUGUAGUCCUUGUCCCUGGUUUCUCCUAAAAACCUUAGACUCUUGAGUGUAAGAGUGUUUUUAGAAUACUGAUGAGAGGACUCUUGGCUGAGCAGAUCCUGGAAAUUUUGAGAAUGGGAGCUGGCUGCCAGAGACACAUACCUGUGAUGAGAAGGUUGACUUAUUCCAUUUUGUGUCGGUAUAAAGAAAUGUCUGAGACUGACUAAUUUAUAUAAACAAGGUUUAUGUGGCUCAGGAUUGUGAUGUCCGGAAAUGUUCGAGCAUUUAGUGAGGGCCUCAGGCUACUUCCAUUCAUAGCAGAAGGCAAAGGGGGGCUGGUAUGUGCAGAGAUCACAUGGUAACAGAGGAACAGAGAGAGUAGGAAGUUACCAGGCGCUUUUUAACAACUAGCUCUCUUGGAAAAUAAUAGAGCAACAAUUCAUUCACUCCAGAGAGAGGGAAGUAUCUCUCUAUUCAUAAAAGAUUGGUCCCCAUGACCCAAACAGCACCCAUUAGGCCCCACAUCCCACAGUGGGCAUCAGAUUUUAACAUGAGGUAUCAAGGGAUAAAUAUUUAUAUCAUUGCAUCCUGUGCCUAGCCAGCCAAAGCUCUUGUUCUUCUCACAUUGCAAAACACAAUAAUCUUCUCCCAAUUAUCCCAAAUGUGUUAGGUUGUUCCAGCAUCAACUCAAAAUUCCAGAGUCUCAUCUGAGACUCAAGGUAAGUUCUUAUAGCUUUGAGCCUGUACAAUUUAAAAAAAUGUCGUUUACUUCUAAAAUAUUAAUACAACAGUGGAAGAGACCUUUCUCACACAUUUCCAUUCCAAAAGGAAUAAAUGGGCCAAAAGAAAUGAAUGCAGUGUCCUCACAGGCUGAAACUCAUCAUAGCAGACAUUAAAACUUAAAGCUCUAAAAUAAUUGCCUUUGACGCUAUAUUUUGAAUCCUGAGCAUGUUGGUUGGUGCAAGUGCUGGGCUCAUAAUGCCAUUUGCAGCCCCACAUCCUUGGCUUUGCUGAACAUAAUCCAUAUAGCUGCUCUCAUGGGUGAAAAUUGAAUGCUUAUGGCUUUUCCAGGCUGAGGAUGCACAUUGCCUGUGGCUCUACCAUUUAGUAGUCCUGGCAGGGGUCCUGCUCCUGCAGCUCCACUAGGAAUUGUCCUGGAUAUUAAAUUUCCCCUUUAAAUAUCAGUUCCAGUUUCAGGUCAUUUCUUUGCUCAUACAUAUGCACAUAGGUUAUUACAAGCAGCCAGGCCAAAUCUUGAAUGCUAUGCUGCUUAGAAAUUUCUUCCAUCAGAUACUCUUAAUCAUCACUCUCAUGUUCAAAGUUCCACAGAUCCCUAGGGAGGGGGCACAAUGCCUCCAAGUUCUUUGCCAAUGCAUAACAAAAGUGACCUUUCUUCUAGGUCCGAAUAAGUUCCUCAUCUCCAUCUGAGACCUCAUCAGCCUGGACUCUAUUGUCCAUAUCACUAUCAGCAUUUUGGUCACAACAACUUAACACAUCUCUAGGAAGCUCCAAAUUUUCCCUCAUUUUCUUGUCUUCUGAACUCUCCAAACUCUUUGAACCUCUGCCUGUUACCCAGUUCCAAAGCCAUUUCCACAUUUUCAGCUACCUUUAUCGCAAUAUCCAACUCCUAGUGCCAAUUUUCUGAAUUAGUUGAUUCUCACACUGUUAUAAAGAAAUACCGGAGAGUUUGUAAUUUAUAAAGAGGUUUAAAUUGGCUCGUGGUUCUGCAGGCUAUACAGGAAGUAUGAUUCUGGUAUCUGCUUAAGUUUUAAGAGGGCCUCAGAAAACUUCCAAUCAUGGUGAAAGGUUAAGGGGAAGCAGGCAUGACUGACAUGCCUGGAGUAGGAGGAAGAGAGAGCAGGGAGGUGCCACACACUUUCAAACACCAGAUCUUGUGAGAACUAUCACAAGAACAGCAUCAAAGAGAUGGUUCUAAACCAUUCAUGGAGGAUUCACCCCCAUAAGCCAAUCACCUCCCAUCAGGCGCCACCUCCAACAUUAGGGAUUACAAGUGGACGUGAGAUUUGGGUGGGGACAUAGAUGCAAAUGAUAUUAGGGGUCAUGGUGGACACGAGGGUGUGCUGGUCUCCCCACUUCUCAGCUGUUACCGGGGACAUAGACACAUUCAGACGCCUUGGCAGAAAAAAAAACCAGAGGCCCUUGAAGUCUCAAAGAAGAGCCAUGAGCAAAUCUUGCAUCUUAGUCCCUUACAAGGCAGUGUUAGAAAAAAACUAGUCAUGAACAAAUUCAAGUCAGUCAUGGUAAGUGGUGACACUGAACAGCCCACCACACAUUGAAAAA